rnacentral:rRNA from 1 species
AGACGGGGACCCGCACAAGCAGCGGAGCAUGUGGUUUAAUCGACGCAACGCGAAGAACCUUACCAGGUCUUGACAUCCCGAUGCUAUUUCUAGAGAUAGAAAGUUACUUCGGUACAUCGGUGACAGGUGGUGCAUGGUUGUCGUCAGCUCGUGUCGUGAGAUGUUGGGUUAAGUCCCGCAACGAGCGCAACCCCUAUUGUUAGUUGCCAUCAUUCAGUUGGGCACUCUAGCGAGACUGCCGGUAAUAAACCGGAGGAAGGUGGGGAUGACGUCAAAUCAUCAUGCCCCUUAUGACCUGGGCUACACACGUGCUACAAUGGUUGGUACAACGAGUUGCGAGUCGGUGACGGCGAGCUAAUCUCUUAAAGCCAAUCUCAGUUCGGAUUGUAGGCUGCAACUCGCCUACAUGAAGUCGGAAUCGCUAGUAAUCGCGGAUCAGCACGCCGCGGUGAAUACGUUCCCGGGCCUU